CCUACGGGGGGCUGCAGUAGGGAAUUUUGCGCAAUGGGGGCAACCCUGACGCAGCGACGCCGCGUGAGUGAUGAAAGCCUUCGGGUUGUAAAACUCUGUCCUUGGGGAAGAAACAAAUGACGGUACCUGAGGAGGAAGCCCCGGCUAACUACGUGCCAGCAGCCGCGGUAAUACGUAGGGGGCGAGCGUUGUCCGGAAUUAUUGGGCGUAAAGGGUGCGUAGGCGGUCUUUUAAGUCAGAUGUGAAAGACCACAGCUUAACUGUGGGGUUGCAUUUGAAACUGGAAGGCUUGAGUAUCGGAGAGGGUAGUGGAAUUCCCGGUGUAGCGGUGAAAUGCGUAGAUAUCGGGAGGAAUACCAGUGGCGAAGGCGCCUACCUGGACGAAAACUGACGCUGAGGCACGAAAGCUGGGGCAGCAAACAGGAUUAGAUACCCCAGUAGUC
rnacentral:rRNA from 1 species